rnacentral:rRNA from 1 species
GAGUUUGAUCGUGGCUCAGGACGAACGCUGGCGGCGUGCCUAACACAUGCAAGUCGAGCGAUGAAGUUUCUUCGGGAACGGAUUAGCGGCGGACGGGUGAGUAACACGUGGGCAACCUGCCUUAUAGAGGGGAAUGGCCUUCCGAAAGGAAGAUUAAUACCGCAUAAGAUUGUAGCUUCGCAUGAAGUAGCAAUUAAAGGAGCAAUCCGCUAUAAGAUGGGCCCGCGGCGCAUUAGCUAGUUGGUGAGGUAACGGCUCACCAAGGCGACGAUGCGUAGCCGACCUGAGAGGGUGAUCGGCCACAUUGGGACUGAGACACGGCCCAGACUCCUACGGGAGGCAGCAGUGGGGAAUAUUGCACAAUGGGGGAAACCCUGAUGCAGCAACACCGCGUGAGUGAUGACGG